rnacentral:misc_RNA from 1 species
GUGGACGAUCCGUGAAACCUAGAUCUGUUAGAUCUAAGAGUAGUUAGAUUUGAGAGUAGAGGACCAGAUUUGUUUCUUGUGUUAAAAAUCUGAAUCCUUUGGUUUGUUUAUUUCCUUUGUUACUUAAUGCUUUAUUUGGAUGAUCUAUUUAUUUUUCCUCUAUUGCGUUAUUUAUUUCCUUUGGUUGCUUUGAUUUCAACUCAAGAUCUUCUAAUACUGAAAGGAAAACAAUGAAAGCUCUAGGAAGGAAUUAUCACAAUUAGAAGAUAUAUAGCAGGCCUUAAAUUUCGUGUUGUUAAUGUUUAUGUUUUAAUGAGUAGAAGAAAUGGAACUUUAAUUUUUGGAAUUAGCAGCAAAUUCAUUGCGAGAGAGAGAGAGAGAGA